UGGAGGACUACACAGCAAAUUGAGGAGUGUUAAUUUUUUGGUGUUGAUGAGAAUCUUGAAGUUGGAGUGUCAAUCUUACACUAUUUGGAGUUGAUCUAACACUGCAUUUUCUUAAAAAUGUUAAAUUUAACACUGGAUCAUGAAAGUGUUGUAGUUAAAAUGGAGUGUUGAAAAUGUUUAAAUCUUGUUAGUGUCACAAUAAAGACAUUCAACACUUCCACACUCCAUUUAACACCUAACAGUGUUCACGUGCCCACGGACAUUUCAUUUAGACUCCACCCCUCACUUCACGUUGCUGAUGGAAGAAGUUGACAAUUAGGAAUCAUUUUGCAUCAGUAGGUAAGUAAACGUUUAAAUACUGUAGAUGAACUAUGAAUGAAUUGUGUUGUACCUUGUUUACACAUAAAAAACGUUAGUUUUUGGUGUGAUAUUUAAGACUAAUAAACUGAGGCAGCUGUUUCCACCCAAAGCCUUUGCUAAUGUUAGCUCGUGUUUUUGCUAAGUUAUAUUUUCUAUUAAGUGUUGCUGUGAGCUGAAUCGGCACUGCCUGGGCAACAUUUGUCAAAGUAAGUGAACGCUACGUUAUAUCUUCAUUUUUAAUGAGCUAAUGGCUAACUAGCUAAUUGGCACGAGGAGCCCCCACACGUAGGCCUGCUGGCCCCCAGCAAAGGACUUGAUAUGCUGUACAAGAUACAAGAUAUCAAGGUUGGCAACUCUAAUUGUUACUUUAACUUAAAAAUAAUUGUCAGGCGUGUGUUGGAAGUGAACUACACAAAUUUUUUUUUAGAAUGAUGCAUCUUUAUUUUUCUUCUUGAUUCACAGCAAACCUUUCCUUGAGACUUACGUGAAUGUGAGGUGGAUGGAGAUGUGUAGACUCCACUAUCCCUUCACCCCAGUUAUCGCCAGUUGGUGGCGAGUCUCCACUCUUGCCGACUACAUCCCAUUCAUCAGGUUCGACAAUUUAUCCUUCAGCCCACAAGAGGAACCCAACAGAACCAAUGGAUCAGGAUGAAGCAUGACGGAAAGUCGGUGGUGUUUUGAGGGCCAAUCCGAAAGGUGAGGAAAUCUUCAAGGAGUGCAACAAGACUGAAACACUAACCGAUGCAAGGUGUAAACAGAUGGUGAACAUCCUGGCUGCAGAUAUGAUGGAGCUGCAUGGGAGGGUUCCGCCAUCAUGUGUGAUGAGAAAUUACGCCCUGAGAAUUGUGACUUGUUUUCCAUACCUAAAAGAUCCAUUCUCCAAACCUGGAUAUGAUGCUUAGCUUAGCGGCAGUGGCUCAAGAGGUAGAGCAGGUCGUCCAGAAAUCGUAAGGUUGGUUGAUCUUGCUCCCUCCACCCAGUCACUGUUGUGUCCUACACUUCUCCUGGCUCUCAAAGCCGUUCCAAGACUGUUUCUUCAUGAUGGUCCAAAAACCAGAGGAGAAUAUCUGUUAACUGGUCAACAGCUGUUUGGUGAGGAGUGCAGGGAGGGGCUAUCUACAAUAAGACAUUCAACUGAUGAAUCCGUGGUCAAAGAAGAUGAGAGCAACUUUCCAGUAUCGACAGAAUAUGAUCCAAGCACAAGAUGUAUCAUCGUCUGUUCUCAAUGUGUUCCCUCGCUUCCUUGAUGUUCCUGGAUUGAUUGACCAGGAUUUCUCAAUGAUGUUUGGUGAUGAAGUAUCUCAGAGGUUCCUGGCUAAGUGGUCAACUGUCUUCAAAGCAAAAGUCAUUGCAGACUUCAAGACUCUCCCGCAAAAGCAGAACAUUGAUGAGUUGCUGUCAGGAACUGAACCUCAACCUGAUGACAGCUGUGGGUGAGAAGUUACGGUAUAGAUUACCAUGUUGGUGUGUUCAAAUGUACUGGAUGUAGCUUUGAUCUACCUGUGUUCAAGAAGAUCUGUGAUAUAAUAAAACACAAAGAAUGUGCUUUCAUAAUAGCCUGUAAUGUAGAAACGAUGUACUAUGAGGACCUGUUUAACGCGUACUGCAUAGAAGACCAAAUGCUUGAGUUUUCUGUCAUGUGUUUAAAUGAACUGACUCAUUUCAGACCAUUUGACAAGCAGUGCUCUAAUGACAGUUGUCAAAGAGCAAACAUACUGUAGUGCCCUGCUGUUAUUUAAGCUACUGUCUGUUGGAAAUGAAAUGUUUUUGAAUAAAAUGUAUGAAGCAGUCAACUAGUCAUUUUUAAAAAAUGUUUAAAUUUUAUUUUGAAGUAGUAUAUUAACACUUUUAUAGUGUUAAUGUUGCAACUCCUUUUGAGAGUAAAAUGACACUAUAAGAGUCAAUAAAUGACUCUUAAGAGAAUUAAUUUGUGACACCUCACACUAGUGUUAAAAAAAUGCAACACCGGUUGGUGUCGAGGAGUGUUAAAUUUUAACUAUAUAAAUAGUUAAUAUUGACUCUACAAUGGUGUAAAAAUGGCUACACUUUCAAAAGUGUUAAAAUAACACUUUGUAGAGUGGACCCCAUGGGACACUUUGAAAGUGUUGAGAUUAACUCCUACAGUGUCAA